UAUGAACGCUGGCGGCGUGCCUAAUACAUGCAAGUCGAGCGAACAGACGAGGAGCUUGCUCCUCUGACGUUAGCGGCGGACGGGUGAGUAACACGUGGAUAACCUACCUAUAAGACUGGGAUAACUUCGGGAAACCGGAGCUAAUACCGGAUAACAUGUUGAACCGCAUGGUUCAACAGUGAAAGACGGUUUUGCUGUCACUUAUAGAUGGAUCCGCGUCGCAUUAGCUAGUUGGUAAGGUAACGGCUUACCAAGGCAACGAUGCGUAGCCGACCUGAGAGGGUGAUCGGCCACACUGGAACUGAGACACGGUCCAGACUCCUACGGGAGGCAGCAGUAGGGAAUCUUCCGCAAUGGGCGAAAGCCUGACGGAGCAACGCCGCGUGAGUGAAGAAGGUCUUCGGAUCGUAAAACUCUGUUAUUCGGGAAGAACAAAUGUGUAAGUAACUAUGCACGUCUUGACGGUACCUAAUCAGAAAGCCACGGCUAACUACGUG
rnacentral:rRNA from 1 species